UGGUUCUCGUUAGAUCACCGAAGUCAAGCAUCAUUGGGCGCGGUCAGUACUUGGGUGGGUGACCACCUGGGAACACUGCGUGUCGUUG